GACGAACGCUGGCGGCGUGCCUAAUACAUGCAAGUAGAACGCUGAAGGAGGAGCUUGCUCUUCUGGAUGAGUUGCGAACGGGUGAGUAACGCGUAGGUAACCUGCCUGGUAGCGGGGGAUAACUAUUGGAAACGAUAGCUAAUACCGCAUAACAGUAGAUGUUGCAUGACAUUUGCUUAAAAGGUGCAAUUGCACCACUACCAGAUGGACCUGCGUUGUAUUAGCUAGUUGGUGGGGUAACGGCUCACCAAGGCGACGAUACAUAGCCGACCUGAGAGGGGGGUCGGCCAACAUGGGAAUGGGAAACCGCCCAGACUCCUAAGGGAGGCAGCAGUAGGGAAUCUUCGGCAAUGGACGGAAGUCUGACCGAGGAACGCCGCGUGAGUGAAGAAGGUUUUCGGAUCGUAAAGCUAUGUUGUAAGAGAAGAACGAGUGUGAGAGUGGAAAGUUCGCACUGUGACGGUAUCUUACCAGAAAGGGACGGCUAACUACGUG
rnacentral:rRNA from 1 species